GAACGCUAGCGGCAGGCUUAAUACAUGCAAGUCGUGGGGCAGCAUGAGUAGCAAUACUUGAUGGCGACCGGCAAACGGGUGAGGAACACGUACACUAACCUUCCUUCAAGCGGGGAAUAGCCCAGAGAAAUUUGGAUUAAUACCCCAUAAUAUAUUUGAUAAGGCAUCUUAUUAAUAUUAAAGCUUCGGCACUUGAUGAUGGGUGUGCGGCUGAUUAGAUAGUUGGCGGGGUAACGGCCCACCAAGUCUACGAUCAGUAGCUGAUGUGAGAGCAUGAUCAGCCACACGGGCACUGAGACACGGGCCCGACUCCUACGGGAGGCAGCAGUAAGGAAUAUUGGACAAUGGACGAAAGUCUGAUCCAGCCAUGCCCGCGUGAAGGAUUAAGGUCCUCUGGAUUGUAAACUUCUUUUAUAUGGGACGAAAAAAGGGCAUUCUUGUUCACUUGACGGUACCAUAUGAAUAAGCACCGGCUAACUCCGUG
rnacentral:rRNA from 1 species